UGGGCGAAAGCCUGACGGAGCAAUGCCGCGUGGAGGUGGAAGGCCUACGGGUCGUCAACUUCUUUUCUCGGAGAAGAAACAAUGACGGUAUCUGAGGAAGAAGCAUCGGCUAACUCUGUGCCAGCAGCCGCGGUAAGACAGAGGAUGCAAGCGUUAUCCGGAAUGAUUGGGCGUAAAGCGUCUGUAGGUGGCUUUUCAAGUCCGCCGUCAAAUCCCAGGGCUCA
rnacentral:ncRNA from 1 species